rnacentral:lncRNA from 1 species
GCAGAGGAACGGUUCCUCCCCUGUGCGUCUCCUUUCUCACACGUCUCGUCCUCCUCUGGCUCUCCCUCUCUCCAACGACGGUGACUACUCCACUCUCCUCUACGGCGGCGCCGAAGCUCAGGACGGCAACGCGAGCUCAGGCUUCAUAGACGGGACGGCGGUGAUGGCAGCUCUUCCCUCUGACCUCCAUUGCAUCUCCCUCUCGACGCCUCUCCAUCAUCCCUGUUCAACCGGCACCAGGGCGGACUCCACGGAACGGUGGCGACAGGCGGAGCACGAACAGCGACGGCGACGGGAGGCACAGCGACGUCUUCUUCCUCCUGCUCUUGGCUC